UACGUAGGGGGCGAGCGUUGUCCGGAUUUAUUGGGCGUAAAGAGCGUGUAGGCGGCCAGGUAGGUCCGUUGUGAAAACUCGAGGCUCAACCUCGAGACGUCGAUGGAAACCAUCUGGCUAGAGUCCGGAAGAGGAGAGUGGAAUUCCUGGUGUAGCGGUGAAAUGCGCAGAUAUCAGGAAGAACACCUAUGGCGAAGGCAGCUCUCUGGGCAGUAACUGACGCUGAGGAGCGAAAGCGUGGGGAGCGAACAGG
rnacentral:rRNA from 1 species